CCCGCAUAUUGACGGACGGUGCGUAUAUAUAUAUAUAUAUAUAAGUAUGUUUAAAUAGUCGGAGUAAAGUAAACGUACCAAAGGAGUGAAGUAUCCAAAUAAACGUUGUUUUUGCUGCCGGCGUUAUAAUUAUCAUUGAAGAUGUCGGCGUACGGACGGGGACUGGCACUUCUGUUUGUCGUUGUGACGUUUGUGUCGUCUGCGGCACACUCAAGCGCGCGCUGCCGUGCUGCAUGUGGAAAUACGUUCAACUCUCGUUCACGACGCACGUGCCAGGAAUGCGCCAACGAUCCGCCCAUAGACUACGAAAUGUGCAGUCAUGCCUGUGGAAACACAUUCUCGACGUACUUUCGUCAAAUAUGCGAUAAAUGCGUUACUCAGGUCGAUUUAACUGAUGAAAUGUGCAUUAAGGCUUGUGGAAAUACAUUUUCGUCCCAAUUCAGGAGCAUAUGCGACCGAUGCGUUAGCACGCCGCCGCUGACGGACACGAUGUGCAUUAAAGCAUGCGGGAAUACAUUCAGCAGUCAAUACCGGUCUAUAUGCGAACAGUGUGCCCAAAAUCCACCAAGAACGGACAAAAUGUGCAUCAAGGCUUGUGGAAAUACGUUCUCUAGUUAUUACAGAAGGAUAUGCAACAGCGUGUGCUGAUCUCUUUCCUUUGUAAAACGACCAUAGAACGAACUAUUAGGAUUACAACUGCAUAAUUAUGGCCGAAGAUAUAUAUUGUGUAUUUACAUAGUUACAUUCUGUGAAUAUAUUAUGAUAGGCUAGGACAAACAUAAAACUAGUUUGUUCUUGCCCCCUGUGGUCGAGACCGAAAUAAUGGAAUAUUUGCACGAUUUACACAACCUAUUGAUUAUAUUCCAGACAAAAUAUUAACAGUUAUCCGCUUGUAUAAUUUGCCAAUCUUCAAAUAUUACAGUAAAAUUUAAGUUGC